UUUUUAGUGGAUGAGCGCUUCAAAAGUCAAUUAAUUAGGGUUCCAACCAAAUACUCCCCUCCCAAAAUUUUAAUCUCUGCUUCUCACUCGCUCCGCUACGUCAAACUCUGCUCCCAUACGUUUGAUCUGAUCGAAGAACUAAGCCUCUUGCUGAGGUUAUGUUCAUUUUGAUUUAAGGAUUUAUCAUACAAUUCGGGCAUGAAUUAGAUUCGUUGAUGGUGUUCUUCAAAGGAGAUUGAACCUGCAGUAAUGAGGAUAACACUUAUUAAUUAAUCCAAAGCCCUAUGGUUCAGGCAAUUAACAUCUGAACACUAAUUUUUGCACUUGAAACCAGGUGGGCGAGCUAGGGUUAUAAUGGAGAAGAAGAUGAAGUUGUCUAUUUGCUGUGGACUCAAAGUAAGAGGAGAAAGUGCAAGAGAAAGAAGAGUCAGAUGAUCUGCACACGCCUGAACAGAAGAGUGAAGUUGUAAGCAAAGUCAACGAAACUAUUCUUGGAAUCUUCUUGAUUGUUAUAUAUUAUUGGAUUGAAAACUUGAACGUGGUUAUCAAGGAGUUCGUUAAGGAAAAGGAUGAAAAAAAAGAAAGAUUGAGAAGUUGAACUUAGUUAUCGUGGGGCUCGUUAAGGAAAAUGAUGAAGAAAAAGAAAGAUUAAAUGGAAUUAUUGCGGGGUUGUUGGCUGAAAAGAAAAAGAUAAGGUUGAUAAAGAUGCUAUGCUCGAUAGGAUGUCACAAAUUGAAGCUAUGUUAACAAGUACCGUUCGAAGAUAGGCUAUAAACACUUGGUUUUGAAUGUUUCGAUGUUUAUCAUAUUAGGAUAAUUUUAUUUAUUCGAUGUUUUUGUUGACAUUUCUAUUAUUCGACUGUUUUAUAUGCUUUUCAAACAUAGAUGUUUUAUAUAAUUUUGGGUUUUCAUGAA